rnacentral:misc_RNA from 1 species
AACCGUAUCAUAAAUGGUUCGACAUGAAUUCGACACAAAUACGAAUAAGUCUAACCCAAACCCUAUAUUUUCGUAUCGUAUUCGUGUCUUGUUUGCGGGUCGUGUCCAAAAUUGCCACUCCUAACGCAGACGUGCACCUAAAUGACUUGAGGCAAACAAAGAAUAAUAUAUCUUUCAAGACAAUUGUUUAUGUUAAUACCAAUAUACCAUAAAAUAUUUAACACUCAAAUGGACAAGUAACAGUAUUUUAGGAAUCCAAAUAAAAUAAAACUAUACUAUGAAAUUAAAACAGUCAGUACCACAGCAGGCAGCAGCAGUCCACCCUAGACCAAAAAACUGAGUGCUGAUGGGGAGAGAGAGAUAGGAGUAGAGAAUGAAAGCAGAAGGAAAGGGAAACGAUAGAAUGGGAAAGAAUCAAAGCAAAACCCAUCUGGGAGGGGAGAGAGAGAGAGAGAG